CGAAAACUCCGCAAUGCACGAAAGUGUGACGGGGCUACCCCGAGUGCCGUCCGCUGAGGAUGGCUUUUCCCUGGUGUAAGGAGCCGGGGGAAUAAGGAGAGGGCAAGUCUGGUGUCAGCCGCCGCGGUAAUACCAGCUCUCCGAGUGGUGGGGAUGAUUAUUGGGCUUAAAGCGUCCGUAGCCUGCUCUUCAAGUCUCUCGUUAAAUCCAGCGAUUCAAUCGUUGGACUGCGGGAGAUACUGUUGGGCUAGGAGGCGGGAGAAGCCGACGGUAUUUCCGGGGUAGGGGUAAAAUCCUAUAAUCCCGGGAGGACCACCAGUGGCGUACGCGGUCGGCUAGCACGCGCUCGACGGUGAGGGACGAAAGCUGGGGGAGCAAACCGGAUUAGAUACCCGGAUAGUCCCAGCUGUAAACGAUGCGGGCUAGGUGUUGGAGUGGCCACGAGCCACUUCAGUGCCGCAGGGAAGCCAUUAGGCCCGCCGCCUGGGGAGUACGGCCGCAAGGCUGAAACUUAAAGGAAUUGGCGGGGGAGCACCACAAGGGGUGAAGCUUGCGGUUCAAUUGGAGUCAACGCCGGGACCUUACCGGGGGCGACAGCAGA
rnacentral:rRNA from 1 species